AUUGAACGCUGGCGGCAGGCCUAACACAUGCAAGUCGAACGGUAGCACAGAGAGCUUGCUCUCGGGUGACGAGUGGCGGACGGGUGAGUAAUGUCUGGGAAACUGCCCGAUGGAGGGGGAUAACUACUGGAAACGGUAGCUAAUACCGCAUAACGUCGCAAGACCAAAGCGGGGGACCUUCGGGCCUCCCACCAUCGGAUGUGCCCAGAGGGGAUUAGCUAGUAGGUGGGGUAAUGGCUCACCUAGGCGACGAUCCCUAGCUGGUAUGAGAGGAUGACCAGCCACACUGGAACUGAGACACGGUCCAGACUCCUACGGGAGGCAGCAGUGGGGAAUAUUGCACAAUGGGCGCAAGCCUGAUGCAGCCAUGCCGCGUGUAUGAAGAAGGCCUUCGGGUUGUAAAGUACUUUCAGCGGGGAGGAAGGCGGUGAAGUUAAUAACUUCACCGAUUGACGUUACCCGCAGAAGAAGCACCGGCUAACUCCGUGCCAGCCGCCGCGGUAA
rnacentral:rRNA from 1 species